rnacentral:rRNA from 1 species
AUUGAACGCUAGCGGGAUGCUUUACACAUGCAAGUCGAACGGCAGCGCGGACUUCGGUCUGGCGGCGAGUGGCGAACGGGUGAGUAAUGUAUCGGAACGUGCCCAGUAGCGGGGGAUAACUACGCGAAAGCGUAGCUAAUACCGCAUACGCCCUACGGGGGAAAGCAGGGGAUCGUAAGACCUUGCACUAUUGGAGCGGCCGAUAUCGGAUUAGCUAGUUGGUGAGGUAACGGCUCACCAAGGCGACGAUCCGUAGCUGGUUUGAGAGGACGACCAGCCACACUGGGACUGAGACACGGCCCAGACUCCUACGGGAGGCAGCAGUGGGGAAUUUUGGACAAUGGGGGCAACCCUGAUCCAGCCAUCCCGCGUGUGCGAUGAAGGCCUUCGGGUUGUAAAGCACUUUUGGCAGGAAAGAAACGUCGCGGGCUAAUACCCCGUGGAACUGACGGUACCUGCAGAAUAAGCACCGACUAACUACGUG